rnacentral:rRNA from 1 species
UACGUAGGUGGCAAGCGUUGUUCGGAUUCACUGGGCGUAAAGGGUGCGUAGGUGGCAUGUUAAGUUUGAUGUGAAAGCUCAGGGCUCAACCCUGAAAUGGCAUUGAAUACUAGCGUGCUGGAGGUUUGGAGGGGGGACUGGAAUUCUCGGUGUAGCAGUGAAAUGCGUAGAUAUCGAGAGGAACACCAGUGGCGAAGGCGAGUCCCUGGACAACACCUGACACUGAGGCACGAAAGCUAGGGGAGCAAACAGG